CGAGAGAAAUGGAAAAAGCGAUUCGAUAUUGUUCGGUGUUUAUUCCGCUACGAUUUAAUUCCGGCAUUUAAAGCCCUAUUACUCGACAACCGAUUUCUAUCUCAUCGCAGCCAUUCCUCGCCAUUAGUCAUCCCGGAGAUCUUAAAACGUAAUUGCUAUCUUGCACCAUUUAUUUUUGUUUGAGCAUCAAGGCAACAGAUUCUUCGAGAUUAUACUUUUCCAAAGUAUUAUUCGCACCGUGUUGUAACAUUGGUCUCUAAAUUACAGACAGUUCGUAUAAUUGCAACAUAUACAUAUAAAAGUAAGUCGUGUAUUUCUCCUAAUUAACUGGAAAAUUAUUUCUCAGAGAUCUGCCAACGAAUCUCGCCAUUCUCAUUUCUUUUUCUCUUUUAUUUUAAACUAGGCUUCGCGCAUCGAGGAACAUCUCUUUACAUAUACUUACAACAUCAGACAGUCCGCAGAAGCCAGAUUCCAUUUAUUUGGAAGCGGCUGAUGAAGUUAGCUGGAGCUCCGCUCGAUCGUAACAAAAGCGGUCGCGUUAACGAAGCGCGAACAGGGCGGCUCGCGCUCGUAGCUUCGCUGCACCGUCUCGCUACCAGACCUCUUGUCGAGGUAAAAUUAGAGGUGGACCGCUGCGGCAAUUAUUAAAAUAGAAGAGUGACCGGUAGAACUUCGAGUGGAAGACUGACUCAUCCCGCUCGAAAAUGCAUAGAGCGCACGCGAGGUGGAAAAGCACGAGAUCUAUUUGUCGACUAAACUAGCAGCAGAAGCAGCAGCUGGACCCGAUCGAGGGAUUCGCGCGAUUCUCGGGGUCAUUGCCACUGCUCGAGCCGACGUCAAGUCUCCAUUGGUUAUUGUUGACUUUGGCCCUGGAAUCCGGCGAAACAAAUCACCGCAAAGUCAGCGCGGUGUACCGGUUAUCAGUUUCAUCUGAUUCCGAACGCAACUGUGUACGACGUGACUAGAAUUUAAGGAUGUCGGUAUACGUAUGUCCAUCGCGAGCGAAGCAUCGCGUCAUUCUCAAGGCAAACACGCCUUGCUCUUGCGAGUAAUGGAAGGGGCCAGAGGCCGAAGGAGAAGGAGAAGAACCAGUCGUGAACCAGAACCGUCGGUCCUCAGAAUCUCCCAGUCACCUCUUCGAGUCUGUACGGGGACCAGCGCGUGGAUUUGUCUCGAUCGUGUACACCUCGACAUUUUCCCGCUCCCGGUGCGCAACCACGAUCGCGUGGAUCGAUCGAUCCAGGAUGACGACGGGGAUACACGUCGAGGACGCGGACGAUUGACAGGUCGGUGAGUCGAUUUUCGAGCCGCGCAAAAAGCGUUCGACAAGCGCUGUCCCACUGCAAACCUUCGUGACAUCGUACCGAAAAACCGGUAACGAA